rnacentral:rRNA from 1 species
CGCCCGCUCAGAAACUCAAAUGAAGUUGACGGGGGCCCGCACAAGCGGAGGAACAUGUGGUUUAAUUCGAUGAUACGCGAGGAACCUUACCCGGGCUUGAAAUGCAUCUGACCGGCCUUGAAAGAGGUUUCCCUUCGGGGCAGAUGUGUAGGUGCUGCAUGGUUGUCGUCAGCUCGUGCCGUGAGGUGUCGGCUUAAGUGCCAUAACGAGCGCAACCCUCAUCAUUAGUUACCAUCAGGUAAGGCUGGGGACUCUAAUGAGACUGCCAUCGUAAGAUGUGAGGAAGGUGGGGAUGACGUCAAAUCAGCACGGCCCUUACGUCCGGGGCGACACACGUGUUACAAUGGGUGGUACAAAGGGCAGCUACCUGGCGACAGGAUGCUAAUCUCCAAAACCACUCUCAGUUCGGAUCGGAGUCUGCAACUCGACUCCGUGAAGCUGGAUUCGCUAGUAAUCGCGCAUCAGCCAUGGCGCGGUGAAUACGUUCCCGGGCCUU